UAUGUGCCAACAAAAGAACAAAGUGUCCCCUCUCGGCAGACUCAACCGUGGAUUAAAUAUGAACACAGGAACCAAACAAAGGAAGAACUUUACAGACCAGAUGAUGACUCCAUACUGCAUUCUUACUUGGAAGUAGAAAUUUUUGGCUGUAGGGAAUCAAGCCACACUGAAUAUUCGCGUACACACUGAGUGGACAGAAGUUUCUAAUUUUCUCAAGAAAUUCAUGGUUGAAAGUCGUUCUAAACACGGCAACCCAGAACCCACGAGAACAGGCAUAGUUUGAGAUGGACGGUCAAGAGUGCUCUCGGGAAGAGACGUUCUGUUUGGUCGGACGAAGACCGUGGGCCGAGAAACGUCAGAAGCUGGUCUGUGGGCCUCCUGUCUUAUCUUCUACCUCAGUUUCCCCCUUGGCUGCCCACCCGGAUCCUUCCUGCCCACCUGGAUUGUGCACCCAUUCAAUUCUCUGAAUCGUGUUCAGAUUCGUUCAAGCAAUACCCACCCAGUUGAUAUUAAUAUCAAUUGAAUGUGAAUCUGAAGCUCCAACGUGACUUGGCCCCCCACGAGUCUCCUUGGGACUAUUCUGUAGAAGACAAGAAGGGGUGAGACCGGAAGCCUUCAGUCGACUGGGUGCAGGUGAGGGUCUCCACGGCCUCCCUGCAGGUAUGAGCAGGAGUGGACGGACUUGUCCCCGAAGUGCGUGGCUUGUUGUCUGCCCAGAGGACUGAGAGUCCGGCUUGCUCGAGCAGGCCUUUGAUCCCAGGUGCCUUCGAGAAGCAGUGCUCUCAAUAAACUUGGCUUUGCACCCACGGUGGACCCAAGGCUCCUUGCCCCUGGGUUCUCAGCUCUCUGGUGGUGAGGGGGGUGGGGGGGAUGGUGAGAUCACCACACUGUCCAUAAACAAAUGUGAGACCAUCACACUGUCCAUGAGCAAGUGUAUUUCAGCAGCGAAGGACUGAGAUAUUAUUACGUGAAAAAUAACAUUCCUCACCUCCUACUCCAGAGGUUUCUGCCUCCAGGCCAGACUUUCCCGAAGAUGUGGGGGACGCUGACCACC